AGUAAUUUAGCACUUUUUGUUUAAUAUAUAUAUUGUAAUUAACACAUAGUGAUAUGUGCUCUAUUGUGAGACAUAUUUGUCUGUUUUGUUAUUUAUGGGAAUUGCCACAGCAACAUUGCCAUUUAAUUUUACACCUGUAAGAUUCAGUUUCUUGUUUUCCUUGAAACAUUUUCAUAGGUAAGGAACAUGAAGCCACCUCAGCCAAGGGUUCAAGAGGAGUCAAAGUGAGCCAGACAUCAUUUUCAGACAGACAACUAGAAGAAAAUAAUGGUGGAGAUCUGCCAAGUCCGACCCCUACAAGUUCCCUUGUUGAGCACCGACAGGAAGCUGUAACUACACGAAGACAUAAUGAUGCUGGUGAUGAGGGUUAUGAUGAUGAGGAUGGAAGUUCUACUGUUGAGUACCGAUGGGAAGCUGUGACUACACGAGGACAUGAUGAUGAUGAUGAUGAUGAUGAUGA